ACCCCUUGACAGAGUGAAGCUGCGGGCCUACGGCAGACCGUCGCCACUCGCCAGACUACCGCUGGACGGCCGCCGGACGCCUGAAGUGCCACCGGACUGCUACGCCGGUGAGCGUGAAGCCGUGACCAGUGACAAAAUGGUGUUCUUCAUUACUGUGAUCUUUUUGGGCAGCCAUCUAUCUUAAACCCCAGGGACUGUCUGAUACAUUGUGUGGCUUACCUUUGUACAUGGCUUCAGAAACAAUUCAGACUAUUCAGUGACAGAAGUAUGACGCAAAGUUCCUCCUCAACAGCUUUUCCAGAGCCAUUUUGAUGCGUAAAGAGUUGCUGUUUCCAACAGAGCUUCUUCAACAGCUCAAUCUGGAUUUGUGUAGACAUCUUUUUCAUUUAGUUUGCUUGUAUCCUUGCUGAUGCAUAAGAUAUUA